rnacentral:rRNA from 1 species
UGAGGAAUAUUGGUCAAUGGGUGCAAGCCUGAUCCAGCCAUCCCGCGUGAAGGACGACUGCCCUAUGGGUUGUAAACUUCUUUUGUAUAGGGAUAAACCUACCCUCGUGAGGGUAGCUGAAGGUACUAUACGAAUAAGCACCGGCUAACUCCGUGCCAGCAGCCGCGGUAAUACGGAGGGUGCAAGCGUUAUCCGGAUUUAUUGGGUUUAAAGGGUCCGUAGGCGGACUUAUAAGUCAGUGGUGAAAGCCUGUCGCUUAACGAUAGAACUGCCAUUGAUACUGUAAGACUUGAGUAUAUUUGAGGUAGCUGGAAUAAGUAGUGUAGCGGUGAAAUGCAUAGAUAUUACUUAGAACACCAAUUGCGAAGGCAGGUUACCAAGAUAUAACUGACGCUGAGGGACGAAAGCGUGGGGAGCGAACA